UAAUUGACUGUUUUUCUUCUUAUAUUUGUAAGGUAACGUUGAAGGGUCAAAUAAUCAAGACUUAUCUGCUAAUGUUGGUACAUCUAGAGUGUGAAAUACCUGUAGUGGUUUUGAGGCAAGGUGCACUUAUCCACUUAACAGUCACACCUAGAGCGUGGCAGGGCCAUGGCUUGCUGGGAUGUCAUUUCCGAAUCCUAUGAUCAUUUACAUGGUGCUUUGAUGAAUAUUGAUGCUUCGGUUAGGCCAGCCAGAAGACAAUGCCCCAGUAGAUGUGUUCUGAACUUUCACUCUCCUCUUUGCCAGUCCAUUGGGGUAAAAGGAUGGUUACUGUCUUUUAAACUACUUCACAUAUUUGGAUUUUGUAUGUAGCAUGUGUGAAACUUCCAUUUUGCUUCAUUCCUUCGUGAAUUCUCAAAACCUCUUUAGUGCUUGCGGACAUAUCUGAAGGAAGAUGUAUGGAUCUAUUUUAAUUUACUAUGCAUAUUUGUGUU